UACCCCCUGGCAAUGGGCAGAGACAUCUCCCUGGUGGCGGUGUUCUUACAUCAGCUGGGGGCAGAGCAGUGGAGCCCUUUGUUCAUCCUAGCUGAUGCCUGACUCGGUGGCCAAAGCUGUUUCAUGCCUAGGGCACAUUA